rnacentral:rRNA from 1 species
GACGAACGCUGGCGGCGUGCUUAACACAUGCAAGUCGAACGGAAAGGCCCUGCUUUUGUGGGGUGCUCGAGUGGCGAACGGGUGAGUAACACGUGAGUAACCUGCCCUUGACUUUGGGAUAACUUCAGGAAACUGGGGCUAAUACCGGAUAGGAGCUCCCGCUGCACGGUGGGGGUUGGAAAGUUUCGGAGGUUGGGGAUGGACUCGCGGCUUAUCAGCUUGUUGGUGGGGUAGUGGCUUACCAAGGCUUUGACGGGUAGCCGGCCUGAGAGGGUGACCGGCCACAUUGGGACUGAGAUACGGCCAAGACUCCUACGGGAGGCAGCAGUGAGGAAUAUUGCACAAUGGGCGGAAGCCUGAUGCAGCAACGCCGCGUGCGGGAUGACGGCCUUAGGGUUGUAAACCGCUUUCGCCUGUGACGAAGCGUGAGUGACGGUAAUGGGUAAAGAAGCACCGGCUAACUACGUG